CUGACUCGUGUGAUUUCUUGAUUCCUGUUUAUUCGUAUCAGAUGGAUGCCGAGACAAGAGGAAAAUAAGAAUGACUUUGUCUAGCAAAGUGACGCUGUUACUCAGUGGGAAAUUGAGAAUCUGAUAAUUGCAACGAGCAAUUUUUUGUGUAACCCUUGACCGACGUUGUUGGUGUAAACACACCAGCGGGGAGGAUUUGACAUGAAGAAACAACACAAAAUAUUACCAACAAGAUUCACAUGUUGACGUGAUCUCCAAUUAGGUAAAUUCCUUAAGAGGCUGAAAUUAUUCUACAAGGAAGGACUCCUACAUAUGUAGAUAGAUAUGCGACCCCAUACAUAGGCAGAUUUCGUUGGCUUACUAGUUCUGCAUGACAUUCAUUCCUUCCUUCAUGAUUUUAGAUUACUCGCAGUUGGACAAGUGCAUUUUCUUUAAAAUAAUCUCCAUUUAUGGAAAUUAUGGAAGAGAGGAAAUUAUGGCUAAAGCGUUCCCUUAUUUAUUAAUGACGUUGGCCUCAGC